rnacentral:tRNA from 1 species
GGGUGUGUAGCUCAGUUGGGAGAGCGUCGCCCUUACAAGGCGAAUGUCGGGAGUUCGAGCCUCUCCACACCCACCA